rnacentral:rRNA from 1 species
AUUGAACGCUGGCGGCAUGCCUUACACAUGCAAGUCGAACGGUAACGGGCCUUCGGGUGCCGACGAGUGGCGAACGGGUGAGUAAUGUAUCGGAACGUACCUUUCAGUGGGGGAUAACGUAGCGAAAGUUACGCUAAUACCGCAUAUUCUGUGAGCAGGAAAGCAGGGGAUCGCAAGACCUUGCGCUGAUUGAGCGGCCGAUAUCAGAUUAGCUAGUUGGUGAGGUAAAGGCUCACCAAGGCGACGAUCUGUAGCGGGUCUGAGAGGAUGAUCCGCCACACUGGAACUGAGACACGGUCCAGACUCCUACGGGAGGCAGCAGUGGGGAAUUUUGGACAAUGGGGGCAACCCUGAUCCAGCCAUGCCGCGUGAGUGAAGAAGGCCUUCGGGUUGUAAAGCUCUUUCGGCCGGGAAGAAAUCGUAUGGGCUAAUACCCUGUGCGGAUGACGGUACCGGCAUAAGCAGCACCGGCUAACUACGUGCCAGCAGCCGCAGUAAAAC